rnacentral:rRNA from 1 species
GACGAACGCUGGCGGCGUGCUUAACACAUGCAAGUCGAACGGAAAGGCCCUGCUUUUGUGGGGUGCUCGAGUGGAACGGGUGAGUAACACGUGAGUAACCUGCCCUUGACUUUGGGAUAACUUCAGGAAACUGGGGCUAAUACCGGAUAGGAGCUACUGCUGCAUGGUGGGGGUUGGAAAGUUUCGGCGGUUGGGGAUGGACUGGCGGCUUAUCAGCUUGUUGGUGGGGUAGUGGCUUACCAAGGCUUUGACGGGUAGCCGGCCUGAGAGGGUGACCGGCCACAUUGGGACUGAGAUACGGCCCAGACUCCUACGGGAGGCAGCAGUGGGGAAUAUUGCACAAUGGGCGGAAGCCUGAUGCAGCAACGCCGCGUGCGGGAUGACGGCCUUCGGGGUGUAAACCGCUUUCGCCUGUGACGAAGCGUGAGUGACGGUAAUGGGUAAAGAAGCACCGGCUAACUACGUG